rnacentral:rRNA from 1 species
AGCAGCCGCGGUAAUUCCAGCUCCAAUAGCGUAUAUUAAAGUUGUUGCAGUUAAAAGCUCGUAGUUGAAUUUCGGGGUCAGUAGUUUGGUCGUGCCAAUGGUAUGUACUGGGCUCACUGAUUCCUCCUUCCUGAUGAACUGUAAUGCCAUUAAUUUGUGUUGCAGGGGAACUGGACUGUUACUUUGAAAAAUUAGAGUGUUUAGAGCAAGCUAACGCUUGAAUACAUUAGCAUGGAAUAAUGAAAUAGGACGUUCGAUCCUAUUUCGUUGGUUUCUAGGAUUGACGUAAUGAUUAAUAGGGAUAGUUGGGGGCAUUAGUAUUCAAUUGUUAGAGGUGAAAUUCUUGGAUUUAUUGAAGACUAACUACUGCGAAAGCAUUUGCCAAGGAUGUUUUCAUUAAUCAAGAACGAAAGUUAGGGGAUCGAAGACGAUCAGAUACCGUCGUAGUCUUAACCAU